ACCCCGGAAGAGGGGGCGGCCGGGAGAUCGGGAGGCAGGCGACGGUGUUACGGUGGGAGUCAGGCCUUGCAGCGGGAUCUGUUGGCAAUGUUGAUGUUCCUAAGUCCAGAUUCCGCUCCCCUCCCUCUCAGCAUCCCCAGCAGCAGGGAGUGGCUCUCGAUUGCUGCCCAGGCCGAGAUGUCGCGGUCCCGGGCAGGGGCGGGGCGGGCCAAUGAUAGAUCUCUGGGAAUCGUGGGGUCCCAGGGAGAAUUCUGAGAAGUGGGGUUUUGUUUUGUUUUUUUAAUUUUAAUUUUUUGUGCUGCGGAUUGAUGGCAGUAGCUUCAAACUCAGGCGGCUCCCUGCAUCGGCACCCAGCGGUCUUGCUGUCGGCUCUGCCCUGCAGCCUCACAUCCUCCUGAGCUUGGCGAGGGGCCCAGUGGCCAAAGGAAGGGACCGCGGGGCGGAGGGCCUGUGCCGCAUCCAUCCACGUGAAUCAAACAGGAAAUGGCUCGUACCAGGCCAGUUCUCUGCCUCACAGCUACACCCUGUGUGUCUGGCUCUUGUCUCACGAAACUGGUUAGAGCAAACCGACUUUAUAGAGGGGAAGCUGCCGUAAGCAAAGCCUGAGAUAUUUCUGCACGUGUCACCCACCACCUGUGAUCCCAGCACCCGCCAGGCUGAGGCAAGAGGGUCGCCAGGAGGUCAA